UGGGGAAUAUUGCACAAUGGGCGCAAGCCUGAUGCAGCCAUGCCGCGUGUAUGAAGAAGGCCUUCGGGUUGUAAAGUACUUUCAGUCGGGAGGAAGGUGUCAAGGUUAAUAACCUUGGCAAUUGACGUUACCGACAGAAGAAGCACCGGCUAACUCCGUGCCAGCAGCCGCGGUAAUACGGAGGGUGCAAGCGUUAAUCGGAAUUACUGGGCGUAAAGCGCACGCAGGCGGUUGAUUGAGUCAGAUGUGAAAUCCCCGGGCUCAACCUGGGAACUGCAUCUGAUACUGGCAAGCUUGAGUCUCGUAGAGAGGGGUAGAAUUCCAGGUGUAGCGGUGAAAUGCGUAGAGAUCUGGAGGAAUACCGGUGGCGAAGGCGGCCCCCUGGACGAAGACUGACGCUCAGGUGCGAAAGCGUGGGGAGCAAACAGG
rnacentral:rRNA from 1 species